AUACGGAGGGUGCAAGCGUUAUUCGGAAUCACUGGGCGUAAAGGGUGCGUAGGCGGUUUGAUAAGUCUGAUGUGAAAUCCUAUGGCUCAACCAUAGAACUGCAUUGGAAACUGCCAGACUAGAAUACUGAAGGGGCAGAUGGAAUUAGUGGUGUAGGGGUAAAAUCCGUAGAUAUCACUAGGAAUACCGAAAGCGAAAGCGAUCUGCUGGGAAGUUAUUGACGCUGAGGCACGAAAGCGUGGGGAGCAAACGGGAUUAGAAACCCUAGUAGUCC
rnacentral:rRNA from 1 species